AAGAUUACCUCAAUCGUGGUGACUGCUUAACUCGACUUGGAACUGGUUGUCCGCAUAAUAAAUCAUAUAACUGUAACGUAAAAUAAAGAAGGAAUUAUUAUGAGAACGGUUAUAUAGGAAAUAAAGAACAAUUGCUCUUCGAUUUUCUUACUUGAUAGCUAUGAUGGAAAGAUGGUAGGCAAGUAGAUUCUAAUAAAGCAUGCGCUUCUUGAUGUGCUUGAUAAAAUGGCCGUGAAGUCCUCAUUUCCUGAAUCUUCUUUGGACCUCUUUCUAAAACUAGAAAUGUUGUUGACAUGCAAUUAUUCUUACUUUGGCAUAUGCCCAUGGAUAUAUCUCCUGGUAAAUGUAAGUAUUCUGGACCUUCAGGAUCCAAAUAUGUUGCAUACAUAUUUUGAAUAUCCGUGUACAAACUACUCUCUGCGUUCGAACUCAUUUCUGGAUUUAACAUACGCUUGCUUAGAUCAUCUGAAAAUAAAUAUAUAUAUUGAAAUUUAUCAAAUACUUUUACUACAAAAAAAUUUUUAAAGGAAAAUUUAAUCUGUGUUACUAUUUUUAUCUAUUACUAUGUAUAAAUAUGUAUUUACCAAUGUCUAAACAGAACUGAAAGAGAUUCAUAGGGCCAUUCUCUUUUAUGUGUUGCAUAAACAUGUACAAUAAACGUGGAUCAUUUAAAACUUCAUCCAAAGAGGGUUUCAGGUGAUUUUGCGUGUUUUUUGGCAUCAUUGGAAUGGUCAUCCAGCAUUGCAACAUUGGUACAUUAACUGCGUCCACUUGAUUAGAAAUUGAAACAUCGCGAUGAGUUGAUAACGCGACUAACGCAUUUAUAUUGUCUGGAUCAGCAAUCGCAUCUAUUGCUGGCAGCAAAAUCCAAUUGGCCAAAAUUUCUCGAAGUAUGACCUGAAAGUAAAAUACAGAUUUAUACUGCCCUUUCCACUCUAAUCAUUAUCAUCGUCAAUAAAAAGGAAUAUUUUAUAAUCACGCUAGUGUUGGAAUUUUUUAUAGCUGAUUACACCAAUCUCAACAACAAAUUUUGUGCUGAAAAAUUCAAUCGUUAUUCUAGCUUCUUCCGCUUACGAAAGAGCUACAUGAGUAUACAGAGUGAGUCAGCUAAGAGUUUCUAGUAGGUGGGCGCGUAAAGGUCACGUGAAGGUCAAGUUCGCUUUUUUAAACGAAAUCAUACAUUUUUUAAUACACUAAACAAUACAAAUCGAAAUUCUUUAUGAAAAAAAACUAUUAAUCUACUUGUGUCGAAAAACUAUUAGUUCAGCAGAUAUUCUAGCUUUUAUUUUGUAAAAUUUUU
rnacentral:misc_RNA from 1 species